GCUAGUGUGCAACAAUUAAUCUGGCAAUCAGGGUAGGACCUGUGUCACAGAGCCUCCUGGAAAAUACCCACAAUGAUGUGGUGGCUUCAUACAGACAUUGCAUGUGCCAUAACCACAAGGGCAGCUAGGAAUCGGAAAGUUCGGGAAAGAACACAGAGACACACAGAAGUACAGGUUGCAAGGAAUAUAUGGCUACACGACCCAUGUACUUGCUGGGAGUGUUAACACUGCUAUUAACUAUGACAGAGCAAGGGCAGUUUCGGCCUUACCUGGUGCAGAAAAACAUAUUGUCCCUGCGCUUCAUUAUGAUCGACAGCUUGUUUUUCAAGCGUAAUCGCUACUUCUGGCAUAGCCUACCUUCUUGUGCCUAAUGUGGAAUACACUUGAAAAAGCACACAGAGAAUUGUUCACAGAGCAUGCAUUAUUCAACGUUUAUACAAAUAGCUGCAUUCUGAAGCUCUUUACAUGAAUUAAAAAAACAGUGGUGAUUAUUUUGCCCUGCUGCUCUUUUUUUUUCCCUCAAAAGGGCUUCUCUCCUGGUAUUAGCUUGAUAAGUUUGAUUGCAGUUAACGGUAACAUUUUCAUUGACAUUACCUUUGCCUAAAAAGUGAUGGCAGGGUAUUUAAACCAACACAUAAGUGUUGUAUGAAUGCUGACCCAAUAUAAUUUUUCAUGGAGUCAUUGUUUCUGAAUACUCUACUGGUUUUGUGACUGGGCGCAGAUAGGUUAUUGACCUGUGCAUGCAUGUUUAGUUUGUUGUGCCUUGCAAACCAGUGCAAGAAAGCUCAAUGCAAAAUUUUGGUAAAUGUAACAGGUUGUUUGUGUUAUAUUCAGUGCAGCAUUGAUUUUUCACCUGCCACGAUCUCUAAUUGACACCAUAAUUAUUACACUAUAGUUGAUAGUUAUUGUCCACACUAUUUUUUUCCUGGCCUAAUUGUCAAUUGAAUCACUGUUGUCGUGUCUAAUUAAAAAAAAAAUAAGCCCCUCUGAAAUGCUUUAAUUUUUUUGUGAAUUUGCAUUAAGUUAGCACAUUAUAACUGGGUCAUGACGUGCCAAGUCAACCAGCGUUCU